UGGCUCAGUUGGUAGAGCAUGGUGUUUGCAACGCCAGGGUUGUGGGUUGGAUUCCCAC
rfam:Salmo salar isolate Sally breed double haploid chromosome ssa09, whole genome shotgun sequence.